CAGGCCGCGGUAAUACAGAGGGUGCGAGCGUUAAUCGGAUUUACUGGGCGUAAAGCGUGCGUAGGCGGCUUCUUAAGUCGGAUGUGAAAUCCCUGAGCUUAACUUAGGAAUUGCAUUCGAUACUGGGAAGCUAGAGUAUGGGAGAGGAUGGUAGAAUUCCAGGUGUAGCGGUGAAAUGCGUAGAGAUCUGGAGGAAUACCGAUGGCGAAGGCAGCCAUCUGGCCUAAUACUGACGCUGAGGUACGAAAGCAUGGGGAGCAAACAGGAUUAGAUACCCCUGUAGUCCCUGUCUCUUAUACCA
rnacentral:rRNA from 1 species